GUCUGGGUGGCUCAGUCGGUUGAGCAUCCGACUUCAGCUCAGGUGUGAUCUUACAGUUUGUGGGUUUGAGCCCCGCGUCAGGCU
rnacentral:tRNA from 1 species